GCUAGACUGGGAUAGGAGCAGUGACGUCGGUUUAUGGCCUGGUGUGCUUUCGUGACAGCGGAUACCCCAAGAGGAGUGUACCCAGCCGUUAUUGCACGUUUGGUCAUCGGAAAAGGAUCUGGCUUGGAGCUGUGUAUUGGAGAGUCAAUGAGAGAAGCUAAGAGCGAUCGGGGCUCCCAGCUCUGAUGUGGCUUGCCCCUGGCAUUCCAUUAAGAAGAGGUCUUUUGAGUUGCUUCACUGGGCGAUUGGCGGGGAGUGUUCUGAUAUUGACACCUUCGUGAAUAAUAUCAUGAUUCACUAAUAUAUUAGUUGGUGAGACAAGCUAAUAUAAUCUGCCCAGGAAAAAAAGCCUUCCUCCUUUGAAAGGCAGAGCAGAAGUUUCCUUCCCCUCUUCCUAAGGACUGUUUAUGCUCAAACAAGGUAUUGGAAAGAAAAAGGCACCUCUCGAGCCAUUUUCUAGCUCCGUAAAUGGGCCCUUGGUUUAUCAUCUGGUCCACGCUCAUUUCUUCUUAAACUUGGCACUGGACGGCUGGCAUGCUAACCCGUAGAUUAACGUUGGUGUUCUGAGCUACUCAUCUAGCCACUGACGUCAGAGAUUACAUAUCAUCUUCAUCUGGAAACUCAGGCUCUUGACCAGGCCUGACAGUGAUUGGCAGAGUCUCUGGAAUGUGGUCAUUGAUGAUACUGGGUUUCAGGGCAGAGGGCAGGGAGGGUGGGUUGGAGGCAAGGACAGACCUUGAAGCUCCAACUGUCUUAGUGGGGCAUGCUUGCAAGUUCUCCAGCAUUUGGGACCUCAGGAUUGUGGAAAAGACCCCUCGAAUUCUAUCAGCAAAUCACCCUCAAGGUUUAUUUAUUGUCUUCCUUGGGAUAAACUGAUUUUGGAAAUUAUUAGAGCUCACAGCUGGGGGAGGAAAAUCAUUAAUGGUGGGAUGGGUUGGCAUUGUGCAGGUUAAAGUAUAGACUACCUAACCCAACCACUUGUAAGUAACACAAACUCUGCUCUGUACCCGAUUUUGAGUCGCUAGGUGUGUGUGGCUGAGGGAGUUCACGGGAUCAGUUGAGUUUCGACUCCGUCUUGCUGUUUCCAUUUUCCAGUGGAUCCCUCUUCCAUGGUGGCUAGACAAUUACUACAAACUACAAAGUCCUCCAAACUGAAACUCCAAGGUUGACCAUCAAGAGCUUCGGAAACAUUCUGUGAUUUCAGCGGGUACUGAUAUGGUCAAAACCGUCUUUAUUUUUGUGGACGAAAAAGGGAAAAACUGUUGCAGGUUACAGUGUUCAGAAGUCAGCCUUCUGCACAAGGCUUGUGGAGGACGAUGGAGACGAGAGGAAUAGGUGAUGCAGGACCCGGCUCAGAGGCCAUGGAACUGUGCGCAGAAGGACGGAGCCGCUGCUCCCCACAGGCUGGCCAAAGGAAUACUCACUGGAUCCAUGGCCAGGCUCUGUACUGUGCCUUUUCUUCCUCACAUCAUUGUCUGGGGGACUCUUGAGAGGAAUCUGACUUGGCUUGGAAGCCACAGACGCUGACAGCUGGGCAGAGAGUUUCUCAGAACUGCACACCACAGACAUGUUUGGUGUGUUGAUUUGUGAUGGUUCAAUUGCUUUAUGCCUCUAAGUUUUACCUCAGUAAUAACAAUAUAACUCUAUUAGGAGUUGGGGCUGUUUUAUGGGAUUAAGAAAACACUUCUUCUACAAAGCAACCUGGUAGAUCUCCUAUUAGGUCAUUGUUUAAAUUGGAGAACAAAAUGACUAGCUGCCCCUGGAAUAAAAAGGAUGAUGUCUUCAAAAAUCCACAGAGGAGAGAUAAAUAUUACCUCUGUUGGAGAAACCGGACAAGUUGGAACAAAGAACAAGCGAUAAAUAUGGCCUUUGUUUAAAAUGUAAGUAAGCUUCUAACCUUCUGGUCUGUUCGAUGGUAAAUAUUGAACAGACUGGUGGAGGCAAAUUUGGGGAGUUGAUUGUGGAAGACGAGUAACUCCAGGGUGGUAACAAGUCCUGGGUUUGGAUUUGAUUGACAAGGCUAUCUCACUAAAGGAGGCGGCUCCCUGUCUGGUGGCGGCUGCAUCUGAUGGAACCCACCAGUCUCAGGCUUUUCUUGUCCACUGUGGACACCACUGAACUUACCCCCACUAUUCUCAGCUUUAGGAUGAAUUUAGGACUGAGCACUCCGAGGAAUUCUUCCCCGCCAGAGGAGAGGGGACUGAGUAAUUAGGAACUCUCCCAGAUAGUUCCUGUCAGCCCUCAGUAGUGUUUCCCCAUGUAAAAUCUUCCUUAUUAUUCAGAAGUAAUGACGAGAGGGAUCUUUCCUACUCACUUCAUUUGACGAUGCAAUUUAAAAAUACAUUUCCCCAGGGGCAAAAUAUGCCUGAUAAACAGAAAGAACUAUCUUUUAAAAGGGAACUUUAGUGCACGAACAGCUGUCUUCCAUUUUUGGCAUUGAAAAGGAACAAAUAAAAUGACGAAUCUCACUAAGUAUUAACAAUAAAAGUGCUGAGAAAAUCUUAA